UACGUAGGGAGCAAGCGUUGUCCGGAAUUAUUGGGCGUAAAGAGCUCGUAGGCGGUCUGUCGCGUCGGCUGUGAAAUCCCGAGGCUCAACCUCGGGUCUGCAGUCGAUACGGGCAAACUAGAGUAUUGCAGGGGAGACUGGAAUUCCUGGUGUAGCGGUGAAAUGCGCAGAUAUCAGGAGGAACACCGGUGGCGAAGGCGGGUCUCUGGGCAGUAACUGACGCUGAGGAGCGAAAGCGUGGGGAGCAAACAGG
rnacentral:rRNA from 1 species